rnacentral:rRNA from 1 species
CCUACGGGGGGCUGCAGUGGGGGAUAUUGCACAAUGGGGGAAACCCUGAUGCAGCAACGCCGCGUGAGUGAAGAAGUAUUUCGGUAUGUAAAGCUCUAUCCGCAGGGAAGAGAAUGACGGUACCUGACUAAGAAGCCCCGGCUAACUACGUGCCAGCAGCCGCGGUAAUACGUAGGUGGCGAGCGUUAUCCGGAUUUACUGGGUGUAAAGGGAGCGUAGACGGCUGGUCAAGUCUGAAGUGAAAGCCAGGGGCUUAACCCCGGAACGGCUUAGGAAACUGAGCAGCUAGAGUGCUGGAGAGGUAAGCGGAAUUCCUAGUGUAGCGGUGAAAUGCGUAGAUAUUAGGAGGAACACCAGUGGCGAAGGCGGCUUACUGGACAGUAACUGACGUUGAGGCUCGAAAGCGUGGGGAGCAAACAGGAUUAGAUACCCGGGUAGUC